rnacentral:lncRNA from 1 species
ACAAUCUUUCCUCCAGCCACACAGCUGCAAGCUUCUUAGGCUGCUCCUUUAGCCCGAACUAGCCCCUCCGUUUACACAAUAAUUUCUGUCCUACUCAUGCCUUGCUUUGCCCAGUUGUGCUUGAUGCUUGAAACCCUCUGUAACAACCCUGAACAGUAGAACUUUCUACUGGAUGAUAUAAAGUGUUAGAAGCACUGAUUUGUUAAGAAAAUUUCCAGAGUCACACAGCUAUAACUGGCAAAGCUGUACUUCAAACUUGGAAAGUCGACUUCUAGAAUCCAGAAGUUUAAGCCCUAGACCAGCGUUUUUCAAAGUGUGGUUCCCAGACCAGCAGCGGCGGUGUCACCUGGAACUUAUCACAAAGACAAGCUUCCGAGCCAACUUCAGACCUACUCAUUGGAAGCUCAAGGUGGGGUUAUGAUGGGAUCAGAUACCUGAGUGAUAACAAGCUUUUCAGAUGAGUUUAUGCAGGCUUGAGCUUGAGGAUCAUUGAUCUAUACUGUGUUACCUUCCCAAAUAACAAGAACACUCAAAAGCCUGU